AUGCAGUCGAGCGGAACGACUUAUCUGAACCUUCGGGGAACGUUAAGGGCGUCGAGCGGCGGACGGGUGAGUAAUGCCUAGGAAAUUGCCCUGAUGUGGGGGAUAACCAUUGGAAACGAUGGCUAAUACCGCAUGAUGCCUACGGGCCAAAGAGGGGGACCUUCGGGCCUCUCGCGUCAGGAUAUGCCUAGGUGGGAUUAGCUAGUUGGUGAGGUAAUGGCUCACCAAGGCGACGAUCCCUAGCUGGUCUGAGAGGAUGAUCAGCCACACUGGAACUGAGACACGGUCCAGACUCCUACGGGAGGCAGCAGUGGGGAAUAUUGCACAAUGGGCGCAAGCCUGAUGCAGCCAUGCCGCGUGUGUGAAGAAGGCCUUCGGGUUGUAAAGCACUUUCAGUCGUGAGGAAGGUGGUGUAGUUAAUAGCUACAUUAUUUGACGUUAGCGACAGAAGAAGCACCGGCUAACUCCGUGCCAGCAGCCGCGGUAAUACGGAGGGUGCGAGCGUUAAUCGGAAUUACUGGGCGUAAAGCGCAUGCAGGUGGUUUGUUAAGUCAGAUGUGAAAGCCCGGGGCUCAACCUCGGAAUAGCAUUUGAAACUGGCAGACUAGAGUACUGUAGAGGGGGGUAGAAUUUCAGGUGUAGCGGUGAAAUGCGUAGAGAUCUGAAGGAAUACCGGUGGCGAAGGCGGCCCCCUGGACAGAUACUGACACUCAGAUGCGAAAGCGUGGGGAGCAAACAGGAUUAGAUACCCUGGUAGUCCACGCCGUAAACGAUGUCUACUUGGAGGUUGUGGCCUUGAGCCGUGGCUUUCGGAGCUAACGCGUUAAGUAGACCGCCUGGGGAGUACGGUCGCAAGAUUAAAACUCAAAUGAAUUGACGG
rnacentral:rRNA from 1 species